GAUGAAGAACGUAGCGAAAUGCGAUAAGUAAUGUGAAUUGCAGAAUUCAGUGAAUCAUCGAAUCAUUGAACGCACAUUGCGCCCGCCAGUAUUCUGGCGGGCAUGCCUGUUCGAGCGUCAUUUCAACCAUCAAGCCCCAGGCUUGUGUUGGGGACCUGCGGCUGCCGCAGGCCCUGAAAACCAGUGGCGGGCUCGCUGUCACACCGGGCGUAGUAGAUUUUAUCUCGCUCAGGGCGUGCUGCGGGUCCCGGCCGUUAAAAGCCUUUUUUUACCCAAGGUUGACCUCGGAUCAGGUAGGAAGACCCGCUGAACUUAAGCAUAUCAAUAAGCGGAGGA
rnacentral:misc_RNA from 1 species